rnacentral:rRNA from 1 species
UACGGGGGGAGCAAGCGUUGUUCGGAUUUACUGGGCGUAAAGGGCGCGUAGGCGGCCACCGCAAGUCGACUGUGAAAUCUCCGGGCUUAACCCGGAAAGGUCAGCCGAUACUGCGGGGCUAGAGUGCAGAAGGGGCAACUGGAAUUCUCGGUGUAGCGGUGAAAUGCGUAGAUAUUGGGAGGAACACCAGUGGCGAAGGCGGCUCACUGGACCGGUACUGACGCUGAUGCGCGAAAGCGUGGGGAGCAAACGGG